rnacentral:misc_RNA from 1 species
UCGUAACAAGGUUUCCGUAGGUGAACCUGCGGAAGGAUCAUUAAAAAGAAUUAUACACUUUGCAUUUGCGAACAAAAAAAUAAAUUUUUUUAUUCGAAUCAUUUAAAUCAAAACUUUCAACAACGGAUCUCUUGGUUCUCGCAUCGAUGAAGAACGCAGCGAAUUGCGAUACGUAGUAUGACUUGCAGACGUGAAUCAUCGAAUCUUUGAACGCACAUUGCGCCUCGAGGCAUUCCUCGAGGCAUGCCUGUUUGAGCGUCGCAUCCCCUCUAACCCCCGGUUAGGCGUUGCUCCGAAAUAUCAACCGCGCUGUCAAACACGUUUACAGCACGACAUUUCGCCCUCAAAUCAGGUAGGACUACCCGCUGAACUUAAGCAUAUCAAUAA